rnacentral:sRNA from 1 species
AUUUGUUGGACGAUUUAAGUCUCGUAAAGAACGAGAAGCUGAACUUGGAGCUAGGGCAAAAGAAUUCACCAAUGUUUACAUCAAGAAUUUUGGAGAAGACAUGGAUGAUGAGCGCCUUAAGGAUCUCUUUGGCAAGUUUGGGCCUGCCUUAAGUGUGAAAGUAAUGACUGAUGAAAGUGGAAAAUCCAAAGGAUUUGGAUUUGUAAGCUUUGAAAGGCAUGAAGAUGCACAGAAAGCUGUGGAUGAGAUGAACGGAAAGGAGCUCAACGGAAAACAAAUUUACGUUGGUCGAGCUCAGAAAAAGGUGGAACGGCAGACGGAACUUAAGCGCAAAUUUGAACAGAUGAAGCAAGAUAGGAUCACCAGAUACCAGGGUGUUAAUCUUUAUGUGAAAAAUCUUGAUGAUGGUAUUGAUGAUGAACGUCUCCGGAAAGAGUUUUCUCCAUUUGGUACAAUCACUAGUGCAAAGGUUAUGAUGGAGGGUGGUCGCAGCAAAGGGUUUGGUUUUGUAUGUUUCUCCUCCCCAGAAGAAGCCACUAAAGCAGUUACAGAAAUGAACGGUAGAAUUGUGGCCACAAAGCCAUUGUAUGUAGCUUUAGCUCAGCGCAAAGAAGAGCGCCAGGCUCACCUCACUAACCAGUAUAUGCAGAGAAUGGCAAGUGUACGAGCUGUGCCCAACCCUGUAAUCAACCCCUACCAGCCAGCACCUCCUUCAGGUUACUUCAUGGCAGCUAUCCCACAGUAUAAAUAUGCUGCAGGAGUUCGCAAUCC